AAAUGAAGCAGAUAGGAAUUCUGGAUUGUGGUCACAACCUGUAGAAACCGUACUGGGGCAGCAUAUACAGUGAUACUGAGAAAUCUUUGGGACAAUUCAAGAGGAGGCGUGACUGGAGGACAACAGUGGAAAUGUGAAGAAAAUCAGACUGACAGGGAUUAGAAGGAAGUUCUAAAGGCAGAUUUGUGAAAGGAGAAAGUAGGAAAG